rnacentral:rRNA from 1 species
GAGCAAUCCAUGAGUAGAGUGGCAAACGGGUGAGUAACGCGUGGGCGACCUACCUCAGAGUGGGGGAUAACCUUCCGAAAGGAGGGCUAAUACCGCAUGACAUACCGUGUUUGGAUACACGGAUAUCAAAGCCGGGGAUCGCAAGACCUGGCGCUUGGAGAGGGGCCCGCGUCCGAUUAGCUAGUUGGUGAGGUAACGGCUCACCAAGGCUCCGAUCGGUAUCCGGCCUGAGAGGGCGGACGGACACACUGGAACUGAGACACGGUCCAGACUCCUACGGGAGGCAGCAGUGGGGAAUUGUUCGCAAUGGGCGCAAGCCUGACGACGCAACGCCGCGUGGAGGAUGAAGACUUUCGGGUCGUAAACUCCUUUCGACCGAGAUGAAUUUCCCACGACCUAACACGUCGUGGGAGUGACAGUAUCGAGGGAAGAAGCCCCGGCUAACUCCGUGCCAGCAGCCGCGGUAAUACGGGGGGGGCAAGCGUUGUUCGGAAUUACUGGGCGUAAAGGGUUUGUAGGUGGCUUGUUAAGUCAGACGUGAAAUCCCUCAGCUUAACUGGGGAACUGCGUCUGAUACUGGCGAGCUUGAGUGCAGGAGAGGAACGCGGAAUUCCAGGUGUAGCGGUGAAAUGCGUAGAUAUCUGGAGGAACACCGGUGGCGAAGGCGGCGUUCUGGACUGCAACUGACACUGAUAAACGAAAGCCAGGGUAGCAAACGGGAUU